UCAAGAAGAUGAACAUUGUUGAGAAAGUGAUUGGGACUUGCAAACAGGGUAAGUGUAACACUUGUGUUUGUUUAAUUUGUAACAUGCGUGCUUUGCUCUGUUUCAGAUUUCACAUGCAGAAAUUAAACAGGAUUUCAACUGCUGAGACACAAUUCAUCAAAAGUAAGGUACGUUUUAAUUCAUUGAUUUGAGUUGUACAAUGUGUUCUUUACUUUAUUUCAGAUUCGAGUCACUGGUUUACACAUGGAAGAAGAUUUCCACGUCUGUUACUCAACUCUACAGAAGCAAGGUAAGUCGAUCAAAUUUUUGUUUUCAUUGACUGCUGUAAUGUGAUGUUAUGCUAUUUUUCAUGUGUGCUAUGCAGAGAUGGAGAAUUCAAUUUUAAGAAAGAUUAACUGCUGCAGCUUAGCUCUGCUCUGUGUUGAUUUUUGUUCAAAAACGUUUAAAAUGUAUGUGUGUUUUCAGAUGUUUUGUUUCAGUUGAUGUCCAGAUGGCAAGCAGUACAGACGUGUUUCUUGGAGCUGCCAAACAGUGAGUACAAACGUUUUAUAUUUUUCAGUUGUUUACUCAUAGAAGUCUGUGAAGGAUGAUAACAAGGGUUGAAUCUAUCAGCACUUGUGUCUAAAAAUGCUGAUGUGUGACGGUUUACUGAAAAGGGUAAAUGCUAGCCAGUACUUACACUUGAGCAACCGUGGGAUGUCGAACUAACUGAUGAUGUACUAUGAUGGUGAACACUUACUAUGUGUAUCGAAAUGCUUUUGUUGAUAUUUUCUAUAGAUGAUUUGAUAUUGGUUAACAUUUGUUUGCAUGCUGUUAACAUUUCUAUUUCAUUUCAGUGAGCUGUGGUGAGUAUUGUAGUAUACAUUUGUUUCAAUAAAUCAUGGUGAUUCUUUUUUACAGUUUUAGGGAUUAUCACUCUAUAACAACUCUGUCGGUUGGUGUUCAUGAGUCUGAGCCUAAUACCGCAAUGUUUGAGUAGUACAAAAAUGUUUUCGCUUUUGUGGUCGCCAGCUGUCCGUGAUCUGUAAAGUGAAAAAUACACAGAGCUAUGAAGCAUACAAAUGUUUCGAAAUUUUAUCAAUGAUUGUAUACUAUGCAUGUUUUGAUUUAGUUCAUUUCAGAUAUGAGAUGACAUGAAGAGUUGACAGUCGAACAGAGCUGAGCAACGCAGAAAGGUAAGUGUGUUUCAUUUUAGUAUGAACACUUGUAUUUUGUUUUUAUAUGGUAUGUUUUGUGCAUGCUAUGUUUCAGGUGUACUUGUAGUCAGCGACGAAGACGAUUCAAGAAGAGGAACAUUGCUGAGAAAGUGAAUGGGACUUGCAAACAGGGUAAGUGUUACAAUUGUUUGUUUGAUUUUUACCAUGCAUACUUUGCUUUGCUCUGUUUCAGAUUUCACAUGCAGAAAUGGUCUCAUAGCAGUGCCAACAGUGAAUAAGGAUGUCAGCUGCUGUGAAACAACUCAACAGAAAGUAGGUAAGCAUUGAAUGAAUGCACUUGAGUUGUACAAUUUGAUGUGAUGCUUUUAUCUGUUUCAGAUUCAAGUUUCUGGUGUAGACAGAAAAAUGUGUUUGAAAAAGGAAUUCUACUACUGUGAUUCAACUCUACAGAAGCAAGGUAAGUAGAAACAAAAUUUUGGUUUAAUUUAACUCAUGUGUUUUGCACUGCAUGCUAUUUUUCAGGUCUCUCAUGCAGUGAGGGAAAAGAAGAUUUCAAGAAAAAAUCACUGCUGCAACUCAGGCCUAUAACAAGGUAAGCGUUUACUAUAUUGUAUACAAAAUGUUUCUCUGUUUUACUCUGUUUCAGGUUUCAAUUGCAGAGAUGUUGCAGAGAUGUUUUGACAGCUUGUGACAGAAAAGAAAUUCAGCAGCUGUGUAUCGACUGUAGCCACGAGGUAAGUCGAAACAAAUAUACUGGUUUGUAUGUUAUGUUGUUAUGCCCUUCUAUGUUUCAGACUUACAUUGCUGUGACUGUUCCACAGUGGGUCAAAAAAGAGACGAAUACAGGUUUCAAGAAGAAAAUUGGCUGUUGAAAACCUGCACAAAAUAUGAGGUAAGUAAACUAUUCUUUUGGUUUGUUUUGUGCUUUGUUAUGCUUAACUAUUUUUCAGAUUGGAAUGGUGGGUCGUUACAGAGCAGACUUUUGGACAACUGAGAAGUUGAGAAACAGAAAAUGAUUCAAGAUCAGCUACGUAAGUCUUGAUUAUUAUGCAUUGCUAAAUGUUUUUUUCAUUUCAGUAUCCUGUGGUAAGUACACUAACUUUCUAUAAUUUCAUAUUGAAAUGUUUUGAUGACUUGUAUACUACUAUGCAAUGCUUAAUGUUUUUUUUCAUUUCAGUAGCCUAUUGGUAAGUACACUAACUUUCUAUAAUUUCAUAGUGAACUGUUUUGAUGACCUGUAUUCUGCAUUGUAAAAUGUGUUUCUUUUUCAUUUCAGUAUGGCUGUGGUAAGUACACUAACUUUCUAUAAUUUCAUAUUGAACUGUUUUGAUGACUUGUAUUCUGCAUUGUAAAAUGUCUGUUUUUCAUUUCAGUAUCCUGUGGUAAGUACACUAACUUUCUAUAAUUUCAUAUUGAAAUGUUUUGAUGACUUGUAUACUACUAUGCAAUGCUUAAUGUUUUUUUUCAUUUCAGUAGCCUGUUGGUAAGUACACUAACUUUCUAUAAUUUCAUAGUGAACUGUUUUGAUUACCUGUAUUCUGCAUUGUAAAAUGUGUUUCUUUUUCAUUUCAGUAUGGCUGUGGUAAGUACACAAACUUUCUAUAAUUUCAUAUUGAACUGUUUUGAUGACUUGUAUUCUACUAUGCAAUGCUUAAUGUAUUUUUUCAGUAGCCUGUUGGUAAGUACAAUUGCCUUCUUUAAUUUUCAUAUUGAACUGUUUUGAUGAUGUGUAUACUGCUAUGCAAUGCUUAAUGUUUUUUUCAUUUCAGUAUGGCUGUGGUAAGUACACAAACUUUCUAUAAUUUCAUAUUGAACUGUUUUGAUGACUUGUAUACUGCUAUGCAAAAUGUCUGUUUUUCAUUUCAGUAGCCUGUGGUAAGUACACUAACUUUCUAUAAAUUCAUAUUGAACUGUUUUGAUGAUUUGUAUACUGCUAUGCAUUGCUAAAUGUUUUUUUCAUUUCAGUAUAGCUGUGGUAAGUACACUAACUUUCUUUAAUUUUCAUAUUGAACUGUUUUGAUGACUUGUAUUCUGCUAUACAAAAUGUGCUUUUUUCAAUUUCAGGUCAGCAAUGGUAAGUAUAGUGUGUUUCUUUAUGUAUAAUUUUGUAUACAUAUUGUUUUUUUUCAUCAUAUCAUGUCUUUCAUAUUUAUGCUUUGUGUAAGUAAAAUGUUCAUAAAUCAUUCUUAUCUUCAAACUAAAAAUGUAUUGUGCUAUGCAAAAUGUCUGUAUGAUUUCAGUUGCCAGAGGUGAGUACCAUAACAGUUGAAAAGUUAGUUUUGUUUAGUUCAAGUUUUGGUUCACAGUUCUGUUUGUUAUUUGGCAAAAUUUACAUGUAUGCAUUGAGUCUUGAUUUCAGCUCGAUUGUGGACUGAAGAAGAUUGCCCGCAGAGGGAUUGGAUACAAAAUACAAAGUAAGUACUGAGUUUCUUACUAAAAGUUUUGAGUUGUAUUCAUUGUGUGUUAAUAUGCUAUGAUUGCUAUGAACAUGACUUUUGUAUUUCAGCGAAGACAACAUAGGUAAGUAAAAUUGUUAUCUGUUUCAUGUUUACUGUUACAGUUCAAUAUUGUGUUUAUAAAUUGUAAGUUGUACAAACACAUUCAAAAGUUUCUAAUCAUGCUUUCGAUUUCAUUUCAGCUUUACUGCUAGACGAGUGUUCUCUACUACUUGACGAGUCAGCUUUACUACCAGGCGAGCAGUGACAACAAGGCGCCUUUGUGGAAACAACACAACAAAAAACUCUACUGCAAGACGAACAGUGACAGCAAGGCGCCUGAACAUGCAACACAAAACAAAAAAUGCCAAUAUCCAAACCUUGAUGUGGACACCGAGUAGUCAAUACAUACGUGUGGCGUAUAGCUGCGACAAAACCGUGGGUCCAUCGCACCGAUAACUUGAACAUUGGCCCGUGUAUGGACAUCAGUGCAACUUUGUGAAUCCAUGUAACUUUGUGAAUCCAUGUAACAUUGCGAAUAUGUGUCGAUCAAAAAAUGUGAACAUUAUGCAAUGAAACGAACUCGGUGUUGCAAGUGGCAAGUGUUGACAGUGUGUAUGUUUAUGUUUAUGUUUUUACAUGAAAAAUAAAGGAGAUUGUUCUCCUACCUUUUUUUUCCUUGUUUUAUUGUGCUGGCCAGCAAUAUUGAUGUAUUGAUGUAUUGAUGUAUGUGUUUGUGUAUUAACGAUGUAUUAACUAUGCAUUACCAAAAUCAAACAAAACUUUGGCACAAGAGACUCUAAGUAUCAAAUACCAACAAUUUAAGCGCAGACAAUCACAUGGUGGUACACCAGUCCGAAUAUACUCAUUGCUCUAGCCAGGAUUGCAAAUUACUUGUGUUGACUAGCAAGGCUCCCUAGUAACGGAGCAGUGUUACUGGCGUUUUUUGGGUCGAUAGUGCUUAGGUGAGGUUUUGCUCGAAUCGGGAGCGGGUCACUCGCUUGGGCGAGUUAGUUUUCGCUCGUAGUUUCCAAUCUGGCUAGAUCAAUGUAAGGUUGUUUUGACUGCUAUUUGGCAAGCAGAAAGACAACAGCGGUUAAUUGACUGAGUAUGGGCGACCGAGGUAUGUAGGUGUCAAUAGACCGACUCCACAAGUUGCGAAGCGAACCGAUAGCACUUGAGGGGAAACGCCUCGGUUUUCGGUUCUAACAUGUGUUAUCCAUGCUGUCGUUAUACUCUGGCAAGGCUCCUCAAUCUAUCGCGAGGGACACUCAUUAUUGCCCGCAAGCUUUAGAACCUGACGUGGGUCGAUGCGUAUGCGAGUCCGAGGACGCGAUGGCAUUUGAUAAGGCUACCAACCGGUUGAUAACACGCAUUGUUCAAAUUGUUAGGUUUAAGUCUGCUAGGGCUGGGGUGGGAA